UUCUAUAGCCAUGCCACCCUGAACAUGCCCGAUCUCGUCUGAUCUCAGAAGCUAAGCAGGGUCGGGCCUGGUUAGUACUUAGAUGGGAGAUCAUGUAGGAAUACUAGGUGCUACAAGCU
rnacentral:rRNA from 1 species